GAAUCGUUAGCACGCCGGACGAAAUGCUUAGCAGUGUUUCGUCUACCUUUACGUUCUAAGUUCAAAUUCCGCCGAGGUCGACUUUGCCUUUCAUCCUUUCGGGGUCUAUAAAUUAAGUAUAGUUGCUGGGUCGAUCUAAGCGACUGACCCCCUCGCUCAAAAUUUCGGGCCUUCUGCCGAGAGUAGAAAA